rnacentral:sRNA from 1 species
ACUAAGGUUCGACUCGAGCGCCAGCGAGAGAGCGUUGCCGCAGGCAACGACCCGUAGGGCGAAGCGCGCAGCGCUGAGUAAUCCUUCCCCCACCACCA